rnacentral:rRNA from 1 species
CUUAAUUGCCAUCAUUAAGUUGGGCACUUUAAAGAGACGUGCCGGUGUUAAACCGGAGAAGUGGGGAUGACGUCAAGUCCUCAUGGCCUUUAUGUCCAGGGCUACACACGUGCUACAAUGGGUGGUACAAAGAGCAGCGACCUCGCGAGUGGAAGCAAAUCUCAAAAAGCCAUCCUAAGUUCGGAUUGGAGUCUGCAACUCGACUCCAUGAAGUCGGAAUCGCUAGUAAUCGCGGAUCAGCAUGCCGCGGUGAAUUACCGGUUCCCGGGCCUU